rnacentral:lncRNA from 1 species
AGGAUGAGACUUAAGAGUUUUUCCUUUGUUUACUUGGAAUAUGAAAUAUUAGAUGUUUUCCAAUUACAAUGCGAAUUGGUAUUUUGAUUGAAAGUCAUUUAGUAAAUUUUGAGAAUAAUUAUCAAUCUUGAAAAAUAUUUGAGGCUCAAAUGUUCUACUAUAGAUAAAGUGCAGUAGUUUAUGAUCCUACAAUAAAUCAAUUAAAUGAAUAUUG